AACACAUGCAAGUCGAACGGUAACAGGAAGAAGCUUGCUUCUUUGCUGACGAGUGGCGGACGGGUGAGUAAUGUCUGGGAAACUGCCUGAUGGAGGGGGAUAACUACUGGAAACGGUAGCUAAUACCGCAUAACGUCGCAAGACCAAAGAGGGGGACCUUCGGGCCUCUUGCCAUCGGAUGUGCCCAGAUGGGAUUAGCUAGUAGGUGGGGUAACGGCUCACCUAGGCGACGAUCCCUAGCUGGUCUGAGAGGAUGACCAGCCACACUGGAACUGAGACACGGUCCAGACUCCUACGGGAGGCAGCAGUGGGGAAUAUUGCACAAUGGGCGCAAGCCUGAUGCAGCCAUGCCGCGUGUAUGAAGAAGGCCUUCGGGUUGUAAAGUACUUUCAGCGGGGAGGAAGGGAGUAAAGUUAAUACCUUUGCUCAUUGACGUUACCCGCAGAAGAAGCACCGGCUAACUCCGUGCCAGCAGCCGCGGUAAUACGGAGGGUGCAAGCGUUAAUCGGAAUUACUGGGCGUAAAGCGCACGCAGGCGGUUUGUUAAGUCAGAUGUGAAAUCCCCGGGCUCAACCUGGGAACUGCAUCUGAUACUGGCAAGCUUGAGUCUCGUAGAGGGGGGUAGAAUUCCAGGUGUAGCGGUGAAAUGCGUAGAGAUCUGGAGGAAUACCGGUGGCGAAGGCGGCCCACUGGACGAAGACUGACGCUCAGGUGCGAAAGCGUGGGGAGCAAACAGGAUUAGAUACACUGGUAGUCCACGCCGUAAACGAUGUCGACUUGGAGGUUGUGCCCUUGAGGCGUGGC
rnacentral:rRNA from 1 species